AAGUGGAAGGCUCUGGGUAGGGUUUUCCUUGUUAAAAGAGAACAGGCUUGGACUGGUGUUUGUUUUGGGUUUCUAUCCUUUUUCUUUUCCCCUUCUUCCUGCCAGGAAUGUAGGCAUGACGCCCAGCCAUGCAGUAGCCAACUUGCAAGCACUAAAGAUGGUGAGAGAAAGCUUCAUGAGGUCUCCUUCUAUUGCCUCUUCCAUAAUGAAUACAGAUGUCAGCACAUACCAUGCACAGAGGACCGAUUCAUCCAUCAGUCCUUCCCCAGCCUGGGACGCUAAAUCACUUGUCAAAUCAGGAAUGCGGUGAUGAAAAUUCAGGAGUGACAUAGUGGCAGAAAAAUCAUCCAUCAUCCUGCUAUACCUCACCUUUGGAGAGCAUCUUACCCACAGUGCCUUCUGAAUGGGAGGGACCAGGCACUGAGAAUGUAAAACCGUCAAGGACCAGAAAGAACGUCUAGUCCAAAGAUGACAAUAAGAUUCAUUAACUGUAGAAGACGUUGGACUAGAUCAAGGAUGGCACAAAUAUGGCACAGGUGCCGCCAAUUCCCCCUUUCUGUGUCCUUGGAAGAAUUGCAAAUCAAUUACUCCAUUCCAUCCUGGGAACAACUAUAAAAUCCUUCUCACUAUAGCAUACUGUAAACCUACUACCACUACAGAGGCAGGGUAGAAGGGAUGAAUACUCCUUAUUGGGAAUGAACAACCAAAAGAAAAGUUUAAUGUGUCUCAUCUGGCUCCAUUUGUAAAUUCCUAAUUAAAAUAGCUGCUACCUUUUUAAUACACAUGUUCUGGUUUGGGCAGUCUUCCUGUCCCUCUCUAACAAUUUUUUUGUGUUUGUUUCUUCUUCUUCUCAAAUCUAAGGAAAAUCCAUUGAGUUAGGGUGAGCCAGAAAAGAGUGUUUGACAUAGGAGGUCAGCCUAAGUAUGAGGCUUUGGGGCAUGAAUUACCCUGAGAGGGGGAACCUUUGGGAACCAAAUGAUACUUUCAGAGUCCAAGAGCUGAAAGUUUAACUGAGGGAUCGUGCAAAGAAUCUAUACAAAUAAAUGCCAGGACCAUGAAUAUAAUCAAGGUACAGUUCAGGGGGAACAAUUCAGUGUGUGGCUUGUGGAUGGAAAAUAUAUAUCCCAGUGUCCCCUUUUGUUGUAGUAAGACAAACCUGAGAUCUGAAGGGUACAAUAUGUCACCCAAGGAUGCCACAUGCCAGGAGGCAAUAUAUGAGUGGAAUUCUGAAUCUUAAGGAGGGAUUUUUCAAUAAAGAGGCAGCAGAGACCAGGAAGGUUCAUCUCAGACAAAAUGGAACACCAAGUAAAGGUUCAGAUUCUCCAGGAGAAUUUCAAAGUGAUUUCAUGGAGCUUACCUCAUUUGGAGCCCAGAAUACCUUUGCAUCACAGGUCUUAUGAGCUCUGUUUCAGAGUAAAGGCUACAAAGACCUAAUAAAGUUAAUAACUCACCCAGAGUCACAUAUCUAGCUGCACAGAUAGGAAACUAACCCAAGUCCCUUGAUCAAGAGCCCAGACUCUUUCCACUAAUUCACCACCUCCAGUGGAAGGGUUGAUAACACCUCUUUAUUUUAUUUUUGAGAAGAGAGGUUCUUAAUGAAUGAAGAACCAACAGGAAAACCAGAACCAUAUCAAAUUAACGGUAAAGAAAUAGUAAGGAUAUGAGAUCAGAGUUGGCAGGCAGCCCCUGCGAUGGGGGGGAACGUUUAUGUUAAGUUCCUACAUGUCAACAAUUUAAUCCGCGUUGAUUUGGCCUUGCUAUUGCAAGACCCACAGUAGCGUGCUACGAACAUUAAUAGAUGAUUUCCUUUUAGCUAGUUGGAGCUAGUGCCCCAAAAGAGGAUUGAGGCAGAUUGGUAGAAAUUUAAGCACUGUUUUUCUUUCUUCCAUUCAUUCAAGCUCUGAACAAGGAUGAACUGAGUUUCCCCCUUUCACCAGUCACUGCACUAAACACUGAAGAUAUAGAGAUGAAUCAGACACUCUCCCUGUACUCAAGCUCACAAUUUAAUAUGGAAAUAGAAACCAAGAAGUACCCAAAAAGAAACAUGUGUAAGGAAGGGGACAUUCAUAAUACAAGGGCACACAAAGAAGUGAGAUGCUCACUGGGCCUGAGUAGACUGGACCAGGCUUCUGAAAACAAUGAGUUUUGAAACAAAUAUGGAAAAUGACUAGAGGUGACCAAUGCUACAACAUGAGCAGCAAAAUAAAUAUAGCAAAGAUUGUAAUUCGCUGAAUUAAAAAAGAAUACAUGUAUGAGUCUAUAUGAAUCUAAGCAAAUGGUGAAAAAGGGAAAGAUAUUCCUUACAGUAGAAAGCCAAGUAAUAAAAACAGACAAAAUAUUGGAUUUAGAAAAUCACCACUUGGCAGUCAUGACAAUAAUUGAUUCAGGCAAGAGUUAUCAUGAGUGCUAAAACUAGUGGGUGACAGUUUGAGGAGUAACAGGAUAUCAACAUAAUUUCAAAGUAUCUCUCCAAAACUACUUAAUUAUAAAGAAGAAAAUAGGAUCUUUACAGUAGAGAAAAUUGGCAGACACCACAUGCCUCCUGACAUAAAGCACUGAGAAGACUGUAACAUCAUUCUGUGAUAUUUUUGCCAAAAAUGCAUAAUCUGAAUCUAAUCCUGUGGGAACAUAGAUAACCAAAUUGAAGAACAGUCCACACAAUAACUGACCUGCACAUUUAAAAAAUGUCAGUGCUAUGAAAGAAAUAGGGAGACUGAACAAAAUUGUUCCAGAUUAACUAAGACCAAAGAGACAUAACAAUUGAGUGUAAUGAGUAAGCCGCAAUUUUAUUUUGUUAUAAAGGAUAUUGUUGGGACACUGGAAAGUUUUGAAUAAGGUUCAUAGAUUAGAUAAUAGUUUGAGGCUUCCCUGGUUGCUCAAUUGGUAUAGAAUCUGCCUGCAAUACAGAAGAUGUGAGUUCAAUCCCUGACCUCCAGGGGGUCAGGAAGACCCCAU